UACGUAGGGCGCAAGCGUUGUCCGGAAUUAUUGGGCGUAAAGAGCUCGUAGGCGGCCAGUUGCGUCUGCUGUGAAAUCCCGGGGCUCAACCCCGGGCGUGCAGUGGAUACGGGCUGGCUAGAGGCAGGCAGGGGAGAACGGAAUUCCCGGUGUAGCGGUGAAAUUCGUAGAUAUCGGGAGGAACACCAGUGGCGAAGGCGGCGAUCUGGGCAGAUACUGACGCUGAGGUGCGAAAGCGUGGGGAGCAAACAGG
rnacentral:rRNA from 1 species